rnacentral:rRNA from 1 species
GUUGGAGCUUCACCGGCGCAUGGUUGUGCUCAGAGGAGGACCGCCGAUGCCCGCCGCCGCUGUCGUCCACAUGCUCCUCCUCACGACCACGGGUGGACGUUGGCUGAGGUCUAGCCUCCCAUCCAUGCGCAGAUUAUGCAAGAAUCUGCUUGGUCUGCAUAUUAGUACCGACUAGCGAGCACAGGAACGACGACUUGGACCUGACGACUUGGACGUUGGCUGAGGUCUAGCCUCCCAUAUGCAUAUUUGACCAGUACUACAUGCGGCCCGCGAGCAAAGGUCGUCCGGCCAAUUCUGACCCCACCAGUCAUGGAUUCUUAUACCAGCCCAGUAGGGUUGUUCUCCAUCAUCCUCGUGCCCUACUGUAUGUACACUCGCUUAUGUGUUCUUGGAUUCUUAUUUUCUUUCUUUUGUAGGAUCCAUAGGAUUAUUGUUUUCUCUGAAUUUGUCCUUUGGUGCAUUGUGUUUGCUUAUUCAGGUCGAUGGGGAGGAGAGGAGCAGCGAGGCUGGAGCUCCAGACGACGCACAUGUCGCUGGGUGGAGGAGAGGCCAGCUACGGGGCGCUCCUGUCACGAUGUGGUGAGAUGCAAGGGAGGGGUAGGAUGCCGGUGACAGUAGAAGGAGCAGGCCGGUGUAGAGGGCAAGCAGCACAGGAAGAUUAAGAAGGAUAUGAAGCUUUGUAUAGUUUCAUGGAUGGGGUUUGGGUGUCCUCAUGAGAGCAGUUCAGUGCUUGCACCUCUGCAACCUCGCCAACAUGGACAAUCACUGGUCAUGAGUACAGGAUCAAGCCACGGAUAUUUACGGCACGACAUGGAGUAUUUGGUGGAACUAGCUAUGGAAGUGUGUCCCUCCAUGUUGUAGGCAGACCGUGAUAUGGUGAAUUAUUUCUUAGGCACGACACUAUGAGCUCCUGUUUUGCAGCACAUGGAUACUUUUCGGCAUAAAUGUCAUGGGUCCAUGAUGCCUUACGUACCUCUGAACCUAUGACUCUAGAGAUAAUUUAAUAUAUUUCUGGAUUGUUUCGCUCUGGUUACAAAUAUUGUAAGAUCCUCUUUCACUAACACUUUCAAGUUUCAAAUAUUGUCAAAUGGGGUUCACAAUACUAGGUCUUUCUCAAUUCAGAUUCUUAUAUAU